rnacentral:rRNA from 1 species
CAGUAGCCACGGGAAUACGGAGGGUGCAAGCGUUACCCGGAAUCACUGGGCGUAAAGGGCGUGUAGGCGGUUAUUUAAGUCUGGUUUUAAAGACCGGGGCUCAACCCCGGGGAUGGACUGGAGACUGGAUGACUAGACCUCUGGAGAGGCAAUCGGAAUUCCUGGUGUAGCGGUGGAAUGCGUAGAUACCAGGAGGAACACCAACGGCGAAGGCAGAUUGCUGGACAGAAGGUGACGCUGAGGCGCGAAAGUGUGGGGAGCGAACCGGAUUAGAGACCCGUGUAGUCCCUGUCUCUUAUAC